rnacentral:lncRNA from 1 species
UACAAUGCAUAGCUUGCUAUGUUGUUUAAUCCUAAUAAUACAAAAAUAGCAGAACUAGGAAGAAAUCUUGGUCAAGAGCUUCUCGAAUUGUUAAGAGUUGAUGAGAAUUUUUAUAAGCAAAAAUCUAGAAUUAAAUGUUUACAAGAGGGUGAUGAUCAAAUACAAUUUUCCAUAUAAUGGUGGCUGCCAAACAAAGAUGUAACUCUAUCCAAAUGCUAGUUGAUAGCAGGGUAAUCAAUUGAGCAUUGUACAAUCCCGAUUUUGCCCGGGCCUCAAAAGCCCAAUACACCCAAUUCACACCCAAACCCAACAAGCCCAAAUUAGACAAAAAAACAAACAAAACAAAAAAGCCCAAUUAAAAUUACAGCCCAAAAACAAAUUGAAGGUCCGAUGGCCCAAACUGUUAAACACUUUUAGAAAAAACCUAAUCUCCUAACCCUAGGUGCGCCGCACCUAGGUCUUCAACCACCCUCUGCUGCCGCUCUUCUGACACCAUCAACUCCUCUGCCACCGCCGUUGACCCCCUAGGCCUGCAAAACAGAAAUAAAAAAAGAAACCAAAGAAGCAGAAAGCAAAGCAAAAACAGUAGCAAAUAGUAUACUAAAGUUAUUGUAUUUGGCUAUAAAAGAGCCUCAAACAGACAAUGUAUUUUCUACACGGAUAGAUAGCAAUCAAAAGCAAAGAAAUUAAAAAAAAAAAGGUGACUUUUCCUUUCCUUUCGUUAAGUUUAUUCCAGAUAUAGUGCCCAUAUAUAUAUACAUAUUUUAAAAAAUAAAAGGGAUUCUUCUCACCUUCUUCAAAUCGGGGAAAUCAGAACCGAAAAAUUCCAUUGGUUUUUUUUUCGAUUUUCUGGAGUUUUCUUGUUGUUCUAAACUCAGAUUUGGGACAAGGGAAGUGAGGAGAUUAAAGGGGACUAGUUUCUUACCUCCGGCCACUGGGCGGGUGGUCAUCGGCGACAGACGGAUGGUGGUCCGAUUGCCGGAAACAAAGGCCCAGAGUGAAACCCCCAAACUCUUCUUUUUUUUGUUUAAAUCACAACUGAAAUGAGCUCCAUCAAAAAAUUUUUUGGUUUUAUAGAACGCAUAAAACGGCGUCGUUUAGGGCCGUUCCAGUGGCCUCAAAACGGCGUCGUUUAGUAACUUAGACCCGAGACCCGACCUUAACCCGUCAGGAUCCGCGUGUUUUUAGACUAGGGGUUUAUUUGUGCCGUCAGUCCCUCCACUUUUGAGGCCGGUUUCAAUGUGGUCCCAUUUCCCUUUCUUUUCUUUUUAAUUUCACCUCUGAAAUUUUAUUAUUGUUUCAGUUUGGUCCUUGAUCGAACAGUGCGUUUUGGGGGGACGGGUUUAUUACCCAUUUGGUCCUUCUUGGUUACUUGCUCAUUCGCAUGGGUCCCUAUUUUAAUCCGAGCAAUUUAUUUUAUUUGUAAAUUAUCCUUCUUAUUUUAAUUUGAUUUCAAUUAAGUUUUAUUUAGAUUCAU